GGGGGGGGGGGGGGGGGGGGGGGGGGCGGGCGGGGCGGGCGGGGGGGCGGGGGGGGUGCUGCUCGGGGGGGGGCGGCGGACGGGGGGGUAGCACGUGGAUAGCCUACCUGUCGGAGUGGGGUAACUUCGGGAACGCGGAGCUAGUACCGGAUAAUAUUUUGGCCCGCGUGGGUCAACAGUGCAAGCCGGUCUUGCUGUCACUUAUAGAUGGAUCCGCGCUGCAUUAGCUAUUUGGUCAGGUAACGGCUUCCCAAGGCAACGAUGCAUAGCCGACCUGAGAGGGUGAUCGGCCACACUGGAACUGAGACACGGUCCAGACUCCUACGGGAGGCAGCAGUAGGGAAUCUUCCGCAAUGGGCGAAAGCCUGACGGAGCAACGCCGCGUGAGUGAUGAAGGUCUUCGGAUCGUAAAACUCUGUUAUUAGGGAAGAACAUAUGUGUAAGUAACUGUGCACAUCUUGACGGUACCUAAUCAGAAAGCCACGGCUAACUACGUG
rnacentral:rRNA from 1 species